rnacentral:rRNA from 1 species
AUUCCAGCUCCAAUAGCGUAUAUUAAAGUUGUUGCAGUUAAAAAGCUAGUAGUUGAACCUUGGGCCAGGCUGGCCGGUCCGCCUCACCGCGUGUACUGGUCCGGCCGGGCCUUUCCUUCUGGGGAGCCGCAUGCCCUUCACUGGGCGUGUCGGGGAACCAGGACUUUUACUGUGAAAAAAUUAGAGUGUUCAAAGCAGGCCUUUGCUCGAAUACAUUAGCAUGGAAUAAUAGAAUAGGACGUGCGGUUCUAUUUUGUUGGUUUCUAGGGCCGCCGUAAUGAUUAAUAGGGAUAGUCGGGGGCAUUAGUAUUCAAUUGUCAGAGGUGAAAUUCUUGGAUUUAUUGAAGACUAACUACUGCGAAAGCAUCUGCCAAGGAUGUUUUCAUUG